ACACCAUUACUACACACUCAUUACCUUCUUUCUCCUCCAGGCUUUUCAGUGUCUUUGCCAGCUCCUGCAUGACAUCUUGUUGUUUUCUUCCUGCCUCCUCCACGCUGCGAGUGUCAAAAUAAUGAUCCCUGUAACUGUAUAAGUCAUCUACCAGGUCCUGUAACAACAAACACAUUUGAUUCAUAUGUAAAAAAAAAACAAAAACAAGCUAAUAGCAGCUCAUUGAGCAUGCUUUGAAGUUCACAAAGGGUGGAUGCAAUCUAAGUAAAAUGUGCACCAACUAUAUACACAUGUAAUGACAUUGAAUUUGCCAUUUUUAAAUCAAUGUUUGUAUCCACAGUGAUAGAAAUUGAAAGAAACGCUCAGUCUCUGAUGUCAAACUGGGAUUAGCAUGAUAACAACCAAGUGGAAAUGGGAGAGAAAAAAACACACAUGCUUCAUUUCCUUGUUUAUACAGAUAGAAACACACACACACAUAUAUAUAUAGACACACAGUGGGUAAAUUACCUUUAAAAUUUUGAGUUCGUUGUCGUCUUUAGCAGGCUCAGUGCUCUUUUCUUCCUCCGCCAUCUUUUCUAAAACUGAGGUGCUGCAGGCUGCAACAAAGAAGAGGCUACGAACUUGGCACAAUAAUCAAAAACUUUCAAAAGUUACGAGACUAACGUCACGGCAUAUGUUAUUAAGCGUAUGUGACCACAGGAAGCGCUCAUUUCCUUGGAUUGGGAUUUGCACAGACUGAUAAAAGUGAUUUUAAUUUCAGGUAUGCCGGAAGUUAGUUUGGUCCGUAUGCCCAAAUAAUUCCGUCGAGGAACAGAUUCAAAAUUUACUAACGUGAUAUUUAACUUCUCCGCGUGUGUCUUAAGACCCACACAGGUUUAUUAAAAUUCCCAAUAUAUUUGUUUUGUUGUUGUCGAGUUAAUUGACACUGAUAUGGUUUAAAACAUCACAAGUAAUCCGGAACCUUUCUGUCAUGGUGCUACUCGGCCACCAUUUUGUUGUGCACUACAGUUGCCUGUUACGCGCGGUGCUGCUGUACGUUGCCAUACAGUAACACAAUUAUUGAACGUUUUUUUUGCCUAUUUCCUGUGCAAUUAGUAAUGUCGGACACAUGGAGCAACAUCCAGGCGCACAAGAAGCAGCUGGACUCUCUGCGGGAAAGGCUCCAAAGGCGGCGGAAGGACCCAUCACAACUGUCCGCCGAGGUUGGCGGGAGUGCAGAUGGUCCCACAGCCAGGAGCGACAGUCCAGCUCCAUCAGUUCCAUGCACUGCACAGGAGGAGACGGAGAAACCACCUGACCCUGAAUUAGAGAAGAGGAUGUUGGGAUAUUUGUCUGAUCUGAGUCUUUCCCUGCCCAAAGACUCCCUCACAAUCACAAAUGAGCUAAAUAGUUCGGAGACAGCUGUCAGUCACGGAUGUAUCCAGAGUCUCCUUAUGAAGUUUUCCGCUCAGGAACUCAUCGAAGUACGGCAGCCAACUUUAACUUCAUCUUCUGCAGCGUCCUCCUCCACGGUCGUCGUUGCAGUGGACCAUACGAAACUAUGGGCUAUGAUUGGUUCAGGGGGCAGCGCCCAGCGGAGUCAAGGUGUCAAGAGAAAAGCAGAGGAGCAGUCCCAGCAUUCGAGAACCCCGGGUUUCUCGCCGUUGUUGCAGGGCUCUGCGUCUCCUCCGCGCUCUGCCAGCUCCUCCAUGACGCCGGCAUCUUUGCAGCCGCCUGGGCCGUUGGCAUCGGGCAGCUGCGCUGACAAGAAGGGCAGGGGCAGCAAAAGCCAGUCAUCACACGUGGACAUGGAAAUUGAGAGCCUCCUGAACCAGCAAUCCACCAAAGAGCAACAGAGCAAGAAGGUGAGCAGAGAGAUCCUGGAGCUGCUUAAUACCAGCACGGCGAAAGAGCAGUCCAUUGUGGAGAAGUUUCGCUCUCGGGGCCGCGCUCAAGUACAGGAAUUUUGUGACCAUGGCACCAAAGAGGAGUGCGUGCGCUCGGGAGAUACGCCUCAACCGUGCACAAAGCUACACUUCCGCCGCAUCAUCAACAAACACACGGACGAGAGCCUCGGCGACUGCUCCUUCCUUAACACCUGCUUCCAUAUGGAUACCUGCAAGUACGUCCACUACGAGAUCGACAGUCCUCCGGAAGCUGAGGGGGGCCUGGCGGGACCACAGGCAGGGACUGUGGAGCUCGGCCUGCACAGCGGAGAUGCUGACAACAAUGUCGGCAAACUCUUCCCCUCUCAGUGGAUCUGCUGUGACAUCCGCUACUUGGAUGUGUCCAUCCUGGGUAAGUUUGCCGUGGUGAUGGCCGACCCGCCCUGGGACAUCCACAUGGAGCUUCCCUAUGGAACGCUGACUGAUGACGAGAUGAGGAAACUCAACAUUCCCAUUCUACAGGAUGACGGCUUCCUCUUCCUCUGGGUCACCGGCAGGGCUAUGGAGUUGGGACGGGAGUGUCUUAGUCUGUGGGGGUAUGAGCGUGUUGAUGAAAUCAUCUGGGUGAAAACCAACCAGCUUCAGAGGAUCAUCCGUACUGGGAGAACAGGCCAUUGGUUGAACCACGGGAAGGAGCACUGUCUGGUUGGUGUCAAAGGAAACCCCCAGGGGUUCAACAGAGGUCUGGAUUGUGAUGUCAUUGUUGCAGAGGUGCGUUCUACAAGUCACAAACCAGAUGAGAUCUACGGCAUGAUAGAGAGACUAUCACCAGGAACCAGGAAGAUAGAGUUGUUUGGCCGGCCACACAACGUCCAGCCCAACUGGAUCACUCUCGGUAACCAGCUCGAUGGCAUUCAUCUCCUGGAUCCAGAUGUGGUGGCCCGCUUCAAGGACCGUUACCCAGACGGCGUCAUCUCCAAACCCAAAAACAUGCAGACACCACAUAAUUGAUCAGUUUUUUUUUAAUAAUACUGUACAGUAGGGGUGGGCCAGUGUUGGGCGGGAGUCUCACUUUUUAACAUUUGUCCAAGUUCCACAUUUCUAAACUAAUGAAUUUAUUAAGUCAUAUUUUAGUUUUUGUUUUGAGAAAGAGCUGGACUCACAACUGCAAGCUGCUUUUUUAUUUUUAUUUUUAAACAAACUAAGGCUGUGUCUUAAAUGGAAUACUGAUGUCAGUACACUAUUCUGUGUACACAAGAUUCCAAGUCCAAGUCUUGUUAAAUCACAAGAAACCUACUAGUCCGGUCACUUUAUCUGCUGUAAAUUAGUCAAACAAUAAACAUUUGUUUUUUUCAUCACAAGGGUCACACUUAUUUUCAUUCAAAUUAAGUUAAAAAAAUCUAUUUAAUGCAAGCAUAGAAAGAGGUUGAAAAUGAGGUGACAAACAUGAUUAGCAUCAGCUGAAAUGUAUAGAAAUCUCUAUUUGCAUCAAAAUAUAUUGUAACAAGCUUUUUCUAUUUAGAAAUAGAAGGCUUUUGUUGUUCUCGCAGAUCAUGUGACCCAAACAUCCACUUACAUUGUCCACAAAGUGUAAUGAAAUGAAAAAUAAUGCACUUGGUAGUCAACUGUAAACUCAUCUCCAUGUCUUUUGUCUCUUGAGAAAAAGGUCCAUUUUGGGGGUGGUGCUAACAUUCUUCACAUGGACGUCCUGCGGAGUGUUCCAAAUAUUUGGGAGUCCAUCAUUGCUCCUCAGUAGGUGGCGUCCACCGCAUUGACGUUGCUGUCCAGCUGGUGUCGAAAAGACAGUCUGGCUUUGGAGGAGAAGUACACUUGGGAGCCCCGACUGAGGCUGCCCCCUCCUUCGCUGUCGCUGCCCCAGGAUGUGGUGGAGGCCAGGCGGGGCUUCAUCUCCUCUUCAGGUGCUGGAGGCAAGGAAAGUACAAUUUAGCCAUUUAAUACAUUUUACUGGUUUUGUUUACUUGUCACUUGAUUUAAAAAAAAAAAGCAAACAUUUUUCAUAUAUAUUUAUUUUAUUUUAUUUUAUUGCAGUUGCACCUCACCUGACGUCGGGGGGCACUGUUUGCUCUUGCAUCUCUCCUUACAUUGUCUGUAGAAGGGGAAACACUGCAACAUGCUGACACCCAUGAUAAAAAGCUCUGUAGAGAAAGGAUAGAAAAAUGUUAUGAUGCGUGUAACUUUGCUCUCUUAUAAGCUAUAUGUACUUUUUACUGCAUUAUAUAUUACUGCAAGCUUUUUGAGUGUAUCUGGGUACCAUGGGCAUGGAUGGCCCUUGGUCCUGAGGCCCUAAGCAGAAGUUUGUUUGCAGAGUUGUUGCGCCUGCCUUUACAAAAUGAUCACAACCAGGUAUUGACAAGUAGGUGAAUUCUUCCAUUGCAUUCUCUCAUUCUUCUGUAUGCUGUCAAUCAUUGUGGAAAAAACCAGUGCAGUGUCAGAUUAUGUGUGUGAUCUGGCUCCCUUGGUAACUGUUUUUUUUUUUAUUCAUUCAUUUUCUACUGCUUUUUCCUCAUGAGGGUCGCGCGGGGGUGCUGGAGCCUAUCCCAGCUGACUUAGGGCGAGAGGCGGGGUACACCCUGGACUGGUCGCGAGCCAAUCACGGUUGUUUUUUUUUUACUUGCAGCAAUUCUUUCAUGCAUUUUUGGUGUUGCAGCUUUUUUCUUUCUUUGUUUUUGAUUUUGCAGAGUUGAUAUUAUUGAGUAUUUUCCUUUUGCAUGUGUUUUAGGGUUUUUUUGUGUUUUUUUUUUUUUGGUAUUGGAUCAUUUCUCUGUUUGGAAGUUGCAUUGGCUCCUGUCUGCCACUGCACUUUAGACACUGUCCCCAGUAAGUUGUACAGAACCUGAAAGCGCACCCAAGUCGAUUAAAGCUGGCACAUGAUGGAAAAUAUAUGUAAAGAUGUACUGUAUGUGAUGAAGAGUAAGAGUAUGUGUUGGAAAGAUGUCUUCAUUUUUUGAUUAUUUUUUCUUAAAAGCACGACAUGAAUAGGAGAACGAGGUCAAGUGCAUCUCUGCUGACUCGUCGCACAGGUCAGGGCGAUCAGAUGACUCAAGCUUGGCUCUUCACCAGCUGAAUGUUAUAUGGAAUUAACACCUCACAGCCAAUCAUCAUCAUCAUCAUCAUCAUCAUCAUCAUGGGGUCUGACAGAGGCCCCCAAAACGAGGCAAGCAGGAUUGGAUGAAAAACAACAAAAAAAAAGCAGUCCCCGCAGAUGCAGCCUAGGCAGCCAUUGACCACCUGGAUGCCGCACAGCACCAGCUGCAGCACGCCCACGGACAGCAGGAUGGAGAAGAGGACCACGUGCCACAUCACCGCAUUCUUGGGGUACUGGCAUAUGUUCCAUAUGGUCUGGUUCACCAGGUAGCUCUCACUGCCACUAUGAGGGUUAGAAAAUGCUUAGCAAUUUAUAAAUGGGAAAGGUAUAGAAAUUCAUACACACACAAAAAAUCCCACUAUAAUGUAUUUGAAGGUUUGAAAUUACAUGCAUGUCAUGUUUUCUCCAACUUUUAUAGUGUUAUUAACGCGUUAACGUUGACAGCCCACGUAUAAGAACCUCAGCUGCAAAAGUUGUCUCAAGCCUGACACCUCGUGGAUUGUAGUGACUACUACAGCACAUCCAUUUGCUCCACGCAUAGUUUGCUCCAAGAGUGCAACUGCAAUAUGAUAAAUUAUUAGUAGCUAAAACAACAUUUGAUUAGAUAACUAAUUACAACCUCAUCUGAUUAGAUGUAUAAUAUGUAUUUUAUGUAAGAUAAGAUAUAUUUUAAUAUCGGUGUUUCUCAACUGAGUGAGUCAGGACCCAAAAGUAUGUCGUGGUUAAGAAAUCAAAAAUGACAUUAAAAUGUUUAAUUCAAUUCUCUGAUAGCAUAGUCUAUUUUUUUUUUACUUUGAAAUACAAAUACUUGGAAAAGAUUUAGAUUAGCUGGGUAAAUAUCAGUAUUUUUAAAGUAUUAUUUUAUCCUCCCU